rnacentral:rRNA from 1 species
CCCUUAGAUGUUCUGGGCGGCCCGCGCACUACAAUGGCGCUUUCAGCGAGUUCCUAUGUUGAAUUUUCCUGGGUAUUCUUGGAAGCGGCGUCUUGACUUGGGAUAGAUCCUUGUAAUUGUUGGUUUUGAACGAGGAAUUCCUUGUAAUCGCGGUUGAUCAGCUCGCGUUGAAUACGUCCCUGCCCUUUGUACACACCGCCCGUCGCUCCUACCGAUGAAUCGUCCGGUGGAGUUCACAGAGUGGCGGUUCGUGGAGUUGCUCGCGAAGUGAAAUGGACCUCACGAUUUAGAGGAAGGAGAAGUCGUAACA